rnacentral:rRNA from 1 species
UUCUGGUUGAUCCUGCCAGAGGUUACUGCUAUCGAGGUUCGACUAAGCCAUGCGAGUCGAAUGUAGCAAUACAUGGCGUACUGCUCAGUAACACGUGGACAACCUGCCCUUAGGACGGGUAUAAACCCGGGAAACUGGGUAUAAUUCCCGAUAGGUCUCGUCUGCUGGAAUGCAUCGAGAUCCAAAGCUCCGGCGCCUAAGGAUGGGUCUGCGGCCUAUCAGGUAGUAGUGGGUGUAGCGUACCUACUAGCCUACGACGGGUACGGGUUGUGAGAGCAAGAGCCCGGAGAUGGAUUCUGAGACACUAAUCCAGGCCCUACGGGGUGCAGCAGGCGCGAAAACUUUACAAUGCUGGGAACAGCGAUAAGGGAACCUCGAGUGCCAGGUUACAAAUCUGGCUGUCGUGAUGCCUAAAAAGCAUUAUAUAGCAAGGGCCGGGCAAGACCGGUGCCAGCCGCCGCGGUAACACCGGCGGCUCGAGUGGUAACCGUUAUUAUUGGGUCUAAAGGGUCUGUAGCCGGCCGGAUAAGUCUCUUGGGAAAUCUGGCAGCUUAACUGUCAGGCUUUCAGGGGAUACUGUCUGGCUCGAGGCCGGGAGAGGUGAGAGGUACUUCAGGGGUAGGGGUGAAAUCUUGUAAUCCUUGAAGGACCACCAGUGGCGAAGGCGUCUCACCAGAACGGACCUGACGGCAAGGGACGAAAGCUAGGGGCACGAACCGGAUUAGAUACCCGGGUAGUCCUAGCCGUAAACGAUACUCGCUAGGUGUCGGCCACGGUGCGACCGUUGUCGGUGCCGUAGGGAAGCCGUGAAGCGAGCCACCUGGGAAGUACGGCCGCAAGGCUGAAACUUAAAGGAAUUGGCGGGAAA